rnacentral:rRNA from 1 species
AGGGAAUAUUGGGCAAUGGGCGCAAGCCUGACCCAGCCAUGCCGCGUGCAGGAAGAAGGCGUUCUGCGUUGUAAACUGCUUUUAUAUAGGAAGAAACGACCCUUGCGAGGGGCAUUGACGGUAUUAUAUGAAUAAGCACCGGCUAACUCCGUGCCAGCAGCCGCGGUAAUACGGAGGGUGCAAGCGUUGUCCGGAUUUAUUGGGUUUAAAGGGUGCGCAGGUGGUUUAUUAAGUCAGUGGUGAAAGACGGUCGCUCAACGAUUGCAGUGCCAUUGAUACUGAUAGACUUGAGUAAAGUAGAGGUGGGCGGAAUUGAUAGUGUAGCGGUGAAAUGCAUAGAUAUUAUCAAGAACUCCGAUUGCGAAGGCAGCUCACUUGGCUUUUACUGACACUCAUGCACGAAAGUGUGGGUAUCAAAC